CAGCAGCCACGGUAAUACGGAGGGUGCAAGCGUUAAUCGGAAUUACUGGGCGUAAAGCGCGCGUAGGUGGUUCGCCAAGUUGGAUGUGAAAUCCCCGGGCUCAACCUGGGAACUGCAUCCAAAACUGGCGAGCUAGAGUAUGGUAGAGGGUGGUGGAAUUUCCUGUGUAGCGGUGAAAUGCGUAGAUAUAGGAAGGAACAUCAGUGGCGAAGGCGACCACCUGGACUGAUACUGACACUGAGGUGCGAAAGCGUGGGGAGCAAACAGGAUUAGAUACCCCGGUAGUCCCUGUCUCUUAUAA
rnacentral:rRNA from 1 species